UUCUGUACUCAGGUUCAAUGUCAUCUUCUGAUUCCCCCAUCCUAAUCAAAUAGCCCAUAUUCCUCAUGUAUUCUUCGCAUGAUAACUCCACCAUAUCUUCUUCUUCUUCAUCUGAUAUCUCCACCACUUCUACUUCAGUUGGUGUGAUCUCCGCAACAUCAUCAUCCGUAGCUUCUGGUUGGAGAGGUGGUAUGAUUCCACUUGCUGAGAGGCCACAAACAAUCGGUUUUCUUUGCUUCCAUUACUGGAUGUGUCUGACUUGUUCCCCGGAAAAGCAAAAUAUGAAAACAGAAACGCAUAAAGACUACUAAUAUUACACAUCAA
rnacentral:lncRNA from 1 species